UAAGAGACACCACAGCUGGUCCACAGGCUGUCCAGCCUGGUCCUGCUGAUGACACAUACACAGGUCUCAACCACAUCACCAGAUCCCCUGAAUAUGACACUCUGGACAAUGUGAGGAUAUCUGCUGAUGGUGCCACCUACACCCCAACAACUCCAGUCCCCCCUGAAGCUUCAGACUAUGAGAACCAAGGGAAGAG